CUCCCUCCUCCCAUAUCUGCUCUGGCUCCCUAUUGCCUGCAGGAGCAUGUUCUUCCUGGGCAUCACCACGACCUGACAUGUAACCUCUGGGAUCCUCCUGACUGAGGCCGUGCACUGUCAUUCACAUACACUCAAUGUCUCCUGCCUUCCAGCCGCUGCUCCUGUCUUCUCCCCACAAUUCCACCCACUCAGAGCCUCUCUCACAGUCCAAGGAGAGCAGUGCACUCCUCCUUCCAUCUUCAGCAGCCCAGACUUGGUCUCCAGUUAGGGGACUGUUUUCAAGGAAGCUGCAAACAACCCAGGACUGGUCUUUGCAGGUGUUCUACUGAUUUUCUUGAACUGUCUUAAAAGUGGAAGCAAAGUCCUGGGAAGGGGAGCAGAGAUGAGGGGGCUUCUAGAUGAAGCCCCGCCAAGAGGUUAUCGGUGGACUGGCUCUCUCCCAGCUCUCUACCCCAUCCUGUGGGGACAGUUAACACAAGAAAGAGUUUUCUUAAUGUCCCAGCAACGUGGCCCAGCUGUGGCUGCUUUGUGUAUCCCUUGUCCUGGGAGCUUCUCUGUGGCUUCUCCACGCAGCACGAGUCAAGCCCAGGGCAGGGGCCCAGCAUGGAGUGUGUUGCAUGAGCCCACUGCUGUCAGGGAGCUGGGGAGCUGGUGAAACGCAGCAGGACUCAGAGCUGUGUCCCCGGGAGGCCACCAUGUGAGUGAGCCCCCUACCCAGCCGUCCUGCCCACCAUGGGCUCUUUGGAGCUGGGCACUGGUAGGAAGGAUGUGCGGAAUCCUGUCUGCAGCCGGCACGGAGGGGUGACUCGGGGCUUCAAGAAUUCAAACUGAUGACAGAGGAGAAUGACGGAUACACACGACAUCCUUAUGCUGAGUAAGAGUACACACUGUGUGGUUUAAUGUGAAGUUCUAGAACAGGCAAAAUGUAUCCAUGAGGCAGAAAAAUCAGAACAGUGGUUGUCCUUCCUGAUUCGAUGUGGGGACUGACUGGGAAGGGUCGAGAGGGGGCUUUGUGGACAUAAGGCUGAUGGUCUACAACUCGAAGGGGCUUGGGUUCCACAGGUACACGCACUUGUGAAAACAUCACUUAAGAGAUGUGCAUUUGAUAGGAUACAAUUUUUAGGAAAAAUAAACUGUAAUAAUAUUGAACUCUAGCACUACACACUCUGAAUUAUUCAGGGCACAUGUUACUGAUGUCUGUAACAGUCCUUGAAAUGGAUUAAAAUUAAGACGGGUUGAUGGGAGGAGUAUGAACACAUGGACAGAUACACAUAAAGCAAGUACAUUCAAAUGUUAAUGGUAGAAUCAACACUGUGGGAAUAUGGGGUUAAAUAAAAAAUUAUUUCAUAUUUCCCUUGUGUUUUAAAAUUUUCAUAAUUAAAUGUUGGGAGAAAAACUGCACGAGCCCCUUCCACUUUUGCCGUUUUUGGAAGACGCCAAGCAAAGGGACAUGAAUGUUCAGGGUAACUGGAUCUGCUCGGAGGAGAAGCCUGUGAGGAGCAGGAGCCACACAGUGAGGAACGGUUGCUCAGCAUCUGUGGUUCCUCUAGGAAUGCCAGAAACCUCUUGCCUUCAGAGUUCCCUGCCCCCAACUCCCUGGAUGGGGGAGGCCUUCCUCAGUCAGAGGCCAGCCAGGGGGCCCAGGAUUGCGGACACGACCCUACGAAGGACACACUGCUGUCUGGAUGUGCCUGGUCAGGGAGAUUAUUCCACCACAGGGGGAGACAGCCUUUGCACUGGUGACACCUCGUGAAUAAUCCCUUAAUGUGGACUCACAUGCUUAUUCUUCUGCUGUAGUGGAGAAGAAAAUGCACCAAAUACAGCUGUCAGUGGUGAGCACACCUUUCUCUCAGCCUCUUGCAGAUCCAGAACUUCUGAUGACGAGGCGCCCUAGGGCGCUGAGCUUUGCUCCAAAGAUUGAUCUACAUUUUCCUCUCUGACUUGUGCUGCGUGCAGUGCGCCCUUGCUCUGAUGCAGCUCUCUCAGUUGUCCAUCCAGCCUCUGCCCAUGUGAGCGCUGUUCCAUCUGGGAAGGGAAAGCUCUGCUCUUUCUCAACACUGUAAAAGAUCCUAGAAAGAUGUGGUAACUACCCAUUCCGGGGUUUCCUCUUCCUGCUCUGCUGUUCUGCCCAGGAUUCUCUGCACAGUGCUCUCCUUCGCACCUACGCUUCCAUUCCCCUUGUCAGCCCGAGUUCCCAAGGCUUUCUGGGAUUUCCAUAACAGUUUUCAGGGUCCCUGAGCUCACAGUAUUGCUCGUCCUUGUGAAGUGCUUCCAGUUUUCUCUUCCCCCAGACCACGUGGAUUUUGGCAUUUCCUUCCCAAACCCCAAGGGCUCAUCUUGUUGAUCUCUCCUUCUUGACCUGCCCCCAGGGGAGGAAGGAGGAUGCUGGCGGGAAGGUGAGGACUUGAGUCUGUGCUGAGACCCAGAGGAGGGGCGGGGCGGGCGGCCUCUUCAGCAGGUGGACUCUGAGGGGGUCGGGAAAGAAGAGGUAGCAGAAGAGCGAGAGCGGAGAGCUUCCCUCCCCACAGACUCCAUGCAGCUUCGGGUCCUGACGACCUGGCGUCUAUCCUGCCCGUGCUGCCGCCCGCCAAUCCAGGCUGAUGCUCAGGGUGCGUCUCAACGAGGCAUCUGUGACGUCAUGCGGCUCCCCACCGUCUUGACAUCCUUGGGAAUUCCUCCUCAGCCCCCGCCUGCCUCCCUCCUCCAUCCCACUACCUGCCCUGUGCAGUCAGGAGGUGUCCCCAGUUCACUGGUGAAUUCAUUGGAUCUGUCACGUCGCCAGCUGGAAUGGGACAGGCCCUGAACCCAGGGAUCCCAGAUGUCUCAGUGAUUGGCUCACUGCUCAUCGGGCACAUGAGUUUGAGAUUAAGAGAUCUGGUAUCAAGGGGGUGAAGAGGCAAAUGAAAUAAUUCAACCAGGCUACCACUGCAGGUGUGUGAUAUUAGACGGAGCGUGUCCAAUGGGGAGCAGCACAGAGAGUGUGAACAAAUCUUCACUGAGAGCAGAACGGUGCAGCGGAAGCGAGCUGGGCUCCCAACUCAGAAGAAGAAGACUCUUUCUGCGUGUUUACAAGUGCUCAAUUCUCUACAUAAAAUCUAGCUGUUUCCACUUUUUGCCUACUACGAAAAAUGCUACUUUGAUGAGGGUUUUCUGUUUUUGUUUGGGGUUUUUUGUUUUGCUUUUGUUUUCAUGUGCAGUGGGGAGGAAAUGAGUGUUGAGGAG
rnacentral:lncRNA from 1 species